rnacentral:rRNA from 1 species
UACGGGGGGGGGCAAGCGUUGUUCGGAAUUACUGGGCGUAAAGGGCUCGUAGGUGGCCAACUAAGUCAGACGUGAAAUCCCUCGGCUUAACCGGGGAACUGCAUCUGAUACUGGAUGGCUUGAGUUUGGGAGAGGGAUGCGGAAUUCCAGGUGUAGCGGUGAAAUGCGUAGAUAUCUGGAGGAACACCGGUGGCGAAGGCGGCAUCCUGGACCAACACUGACACUGAGGAGCGAAAGCCAGGGGAGCAAACGGG